rnacentral:rRNA from 1 species
UACGAAGGGGCUAGCGUUGCUCGGAAUUAUUGGGCGUAAAGCGCACGUAGGCGGCUUUGCAAGUCCCAUGUGAAAGCCCACGGCUCAACCGUGGAAGUGCAUGGGAAACUGCAGAGCUUGAGUACUUAAGAGGAUCGCGGAAUUCCCGGUGUAGAGGUGAAAUUCGUAGAUAUCGGGAGGAACACCAGUGGCGAAGGCGGCGAUCUGGGAAGAGUACUGACGCUGAGGUGCGAAAGCGUGGGGAGCGAACGAGGA